AAAUAGGUGACUGAAUGUUUGAUAUCAUUUUCGGUACUCUUUUGUCACUGUUAUUUUUUCGCCCCUAUGAAAAUAGAGAUACAUGUAAUAUAACUGAAUGUGAGCACCCUUCCCUAGAUGGGACAUUUGUCUCUUGGGGCAAACUCCUCUUAAUAAAUUGGAUGAGACAUAGCACAUAAAUAUCUAAACAGGCGCAGAUAAUCAUGCUCACUAUGUAAUAGAUGUGAUAUAUCGAUGUUUCAAAGUCUCUUAAAAUCCAUUCCUAGCCUAAGGAGGGUCCUCAACUCAAAAGAAGCUAUUUGAAGGAACAAGAAUGACAUUACACCCAAGAUCAAUCGUUGGUCGCUGAAUGACAUUGCAUCCAAGAUCACAAUAGUUGACGCUGAGACACUUCUCAUCUUCAUCACACUUGAGGUUGCAAUCGCCGAGGUUCGCUACGUCAAUGGUCUUGUACGCUGAGUCUACUAAAGCCGUGUUGGGCUCAGAGUACUGAAAGCACUGUUGUGCGGCCGGGUGAAGGAAAAUUCCACAAAGGAGAAUGGUGGUGGAAGCCAGUAUAGCGAGAUACACCAUCUUGGUGUAGACCUCUCGUAAUGACUCCUUUCUAAGUGUUGCGCUCUCUAUAUUUGCAAUUGGUUUUUCAAAUUGUCUGUUAAUAAUUCAGGAGGCCCCUUUUGAUUGUUUUCGUCAAUACAAAAGCUAAUGCAGGAAUUUUAUUCUAUUCUUGAUGUAAGAAAACAAACAAUACCUCCAAAUGACACUAAAAUCUGGAGCAAAAUGGUAAAAUUUGUUAUCUUGCUACACAAGAUGAUCGUUGUUGCAGUCGUUUUAGGAUAUUUUUUGUUAUCCCUUUAUUAAGUUAGUAUCCUUCAAAAUCGUUGUAUAAGACGUUCGCGUUGCUUUGCCUCUCCUAAAGCAUCCACAUUCCUAACAGAUUAACAGAGCCGUAGUGAAAUUAACCCCGAACUUUUUAGAAAACCCCUCGGUUUUGAAAGUUGUAAUAAUGUUUGGCGAUGAUGGUAAAGUUCAUUGAUGACGAUA